GCCGGAUGUAGCCAAGUGGAUCAAGGCAGUGGAUUUGU
rnacentral:tRNA from 1 species